rnacentral:rRNA from 1 species
CCACUUACCCUCCCCGUGUUGGCCGUCCGUUGCCCCUACCCGAACACGUUAGGGAAAGUUAACUUACCGAGGGUUAGACGGGUCGGGUAAAGUAAAGUCGGUACGGUAAGGAAGACUUCGUAGGGGAAAGUAACCGUAACCGAGGUCGGAACGGACGCGACGUCCUUGCGNUACNCUAUUNUGACNCAGGUGGUAACGAAGCGGUGGNAACAAGAGUAUAGACCUCCGUGGUACGCCACGAACCGAAAGNUGAGUCAGUGGUUGUACUCCCGGUUUACGGGUUAGCGCCGCAGACUACGNUAAUAGCACNCCNCGGUGGAGACGCAGUAGUANAACAGAAAGUAUGGCGGGGCCCGCACAAGCGGCGGAGCAUGCGGAUUAAUUCGAUGCAACGCGAAGAACCUUACCAAGGCUUG